UUCCUCACACUUUGGUACUAUUGAGACAACCCUCUCAACCAAAGUGGACACACACAAGAGGUGAUUAGAGGAGUGGAAUAUCAAAGCAAACAACACUUCUUACUUGUACAAAUGACCAAGAAGAUUAGAAGAAGAAGUUGGAGAGCUUUUGAAGCUUUGGAAAGCUAGGACACUUGAGCACUUGGAAGCUUGGAAGCUUGAUGACAAAAACGUGUGGACAAGUGUGGAGUGGAAGCUCUUGAGUUUGCUUAUGGUGUGGUGAGUGGAAAUGAGGGGAUUACCCUUCUAUUUAUAGCCUUGGCCACUCAAUGUCCAUCCUUGGAUCUUCAAUGGAUGGCUCCUUGAUUUCUCACAUAAAUCCAAGAUUUGUCUUUGAAUAGUGUUUGCCUUGGAUAGUGUUUUGUCCCCUUGUCUUUGUUGGAGAAAUCUUAUCUUUGUAUAAAUUCAAACUUGAAUAGUGUUUUCUUUGUUAGAGAAUUUUACCGUUGUAGGAGAAUUCUUUUCUUUGUAUAAAUUCAAACUUGAAUAGUGUUUUGUCUCUUUGUCUUUGUUGGAGAAUCUUAUCUUUGUAAAUUCAAACUUGAAUAGUGUUUUGUCUCCUUGGAAUAUUAUCCCUUGAAUAAAGUGUCACAAGAUAAUAAUAAUAAUAUGCAAGGUAAAAUGCAAUUAUUCCAAAUAAUAAUAUUCAAGGUGAAAGUGCAAUUCUCCCAAUUAAUAAUAUUCAAGAUGAAAAUGCAAUUCUCCCAAUUAAUAAUAUUCAAGAUGAAAAUGCAAUUCUCCCAAUUAAUAAUAUUCAAGAUGAAAAUGCAAUUCUCCCACUUUGACUUUUAACUUUGACUUAAACCCUUAACUCAAAUGAUUAAUGAAUUAACU
rnacentral:lncRNA from 1 species